CCUACGGGCGGCAGCAGUAGGGAAUAUUGCUCAAUGGGGGAAACCCUGAAGCAGCAACGCCGCGUGGAGGAUGAAGGUUUUCGGAUUGUAAACUCCUUUUGUUAGAGAAGAGAAUGACGGUAUCUAACGAAUAAGCACCGGCUAACUCCGUGCCAGCAGCCGCGGUAAUACGGAGGGUGCAAGCGUUACUCGGAAUCACGGGGCGUAAAGAGGGCGUAGGCGGGAUAGCAAGUCAGUUGUGAAAGCCUAUGGCUUAACCAUAGAACUGCAUUUGAAACUGUUAUUCUAGAGUAUGGGAGAGGUAGGUGGAAUUCUUGGUGUAGGGGUGAAAUCCGUAGAGAUCAAGAGGAAUACUCAUUGCGAAGGCGACCUGCUAGAACAUAACUGACGCUGAUGCGCGAAAGCGUGGGGAGCAAACAGGAUUAGAUACCCUUGUAGUC
rnacentral:rRNA from 1 species